rnacentral:rRNA from 1 species
UUUGGUCAUUUAGAGGAAGUAAAAGUCGUAACAAGGUUUCCGUAGGUGAACCUGCGGAAGGAUCAUUAGAGAAAAAAAGAUGGCUGCGAAGCCCAUUCUUUCAUAUCUAUUACACCCAUGUGCACAUUACACUUUUUUUAGUAUUAACAUCACGUUAAGAUAAGGCCUGAAUGUAAAAACAUAUAACAAGUAAAAACUUUCAGCAACGGAUCUCUUGGCUCUCGCAUCGAUGAAGAACGCAGCGAAAUGCGAUACGUAAUGUGAAUUGCAGAUAUUUGUGAAUCAUCGAAUCUUUGAACGCACCUUGCGCUCCUUGGUAUUCCUCGGAGCAUGUCUGUUUGAGUGUCGCGAACAUCCUCAAAGCCCCCUCUUUUUGUUUGCUCAGAAGGAGAGUUGUUUACAAACGGGUUUUGGAUCGCGACGGCUGUACUUUCGGGUAGCUGUCGAAAUUGAAGUUGAAAGGGCUCCUCAUUUUUCGUGGACUGUUCUUUGGUGUCGAGUUUUAAAUCUUGGCUUCUGCGUGAUAAUUAUUUCGCUCCUGCUCUUGAUAUUGGCAACCAAAGAAAACCACAAACAAAAAAAGAAACCCUCCAAAUAACAUCUAUAUUAUAUUUUUUGACCUCAAAUCAGGCAGGACUACCCGCUGAACUUAAGCAUAUCAAUAAGCGGAGGA